UGGGGAAUAUUGCACAAUGGGCGCAAGCCUGAUGCAGCCAUGCCGCGUGUAUGAAGAAGGCCUUCGGGUUGUAAAGUACUUUCAGCGGGGAGGAAGGGAGUAAAGUUAAUACCUUUGCUCAUUGACGUUACCCGCAGAAGAAGCACCGGCUAACUCCGUGCCAGCAGCCGCGGUAAUACGGAGGGUGCAAGCGUUAAUCGGAAUUACUGGGCGUAAAGCGCACGCAGGCGGUUUGUUAAGUCAGAUGUGAAAUCCCCGGGCUCAACCUGGGAACUGCAUCUGAUACUGGCAAGCUUGAGUCUCGUAGAGGGGGGUAGAAUUCCAGGUGUAGCGGUGAAAUGCGUAGAGAUCUGGAGGAAUACCGGUGGCGAAGGCAGCCCCCUGGUCAAAGACUGACGCUCAGGUGCGAAAGCGUGGGGAGCAAACAGG
rnacentral:rRNA from 1 species